rnacentral:rRNA from 1 species
AUUGAACGCUGGCGGCAGGCCUAACACAUGCAAGUCGAGCGAGCGGCGGACGGGUGAGUACUGUAUGGGGACUGCCCGUUAGAGGGGGGUAACUACUGGAAACGGUGGCUCAUACCGCAUACUAUCGGAUAACCCAUAUGGGAUUAGCUAGUAGGUAAGGUAAUGGCUUACCUAGGCGACGAUCCCUAGCUGGUCUGAGAGGAUGAUCAGGCACACUGAGACGGGGACACGGCACAGACUCCUACGGAGGAAGCAGUGGGGAAUAUUGCACAAUGGGCGCAAGCCGGAUGCAGCGAUGCCGCGUGUAUGAAGAAGGCCCUAGGGUUGUAAAGUACUUGCAGUCGGGAGGCGUUACCGACAGAAGAAGCACCGGCUAACUCCGUGCCAGCAGCCGCGGUAAUAC